CCCAGCCUCUGACCCCCAUAGAGGCUCACAUCCCCUGUCCCCAGCAGCCACACCUGUCCCCGAAGGCUCAGCCCACCAGAGCCCCGACUCCCCUGUCACCUGCCUUCCUUCCUGAUGGCUCUCUCGCUCUGACCUUGCUGUGUGUCCCCUCAGACUCUCCAGGGUCUCAGCCCUCCUAGGAGGCAGGGGUCACCACGUUGUCCACAGCCUCUUCUGUCCCUGGGAAGCCACUCCAGGCUUUGUCUGAGCACCUGGGACCUGUACCCCCACGGCUCUUGGUGUCAGGGAGGCCGCUGGAGAGACCCAGGCCGUGAAGUGGAGAGGCCAGCCUCCCCAAGGUCAGGAGCUCCGAGCUGCGACCACAGACAAGCCCAGUGCAGGAAAGCGCUCAGCACUGGCUCCCUCACUUCGUCACUCAUUCACUGAGCACCUGCGGUGGCCCAGGGGCCAUGCCGGGCUCCCAGCGUGCCACAAUAACACAGAGGCAGGUCCUCCCUGGGUACCCCGGCUUCCGGUCCAGCGGAGAUGGCAGAGUCCACAAUGAGAGGGACGCUCUCAAGGUCACAGAGCAAGUACGGAGAUAGAGAAUGAUGUGUGUGUGUGUGUGCGUGUGCGUGUGCGUGUGCAAUAUUGUUUGGGUAGGGACCGACCCCGGCCUCUCUGAGGGGGGAAUUGAGGCUGGGACCCGUGGGCCCAGUGAGCUGAGACGGCCCUAGGGGUUCAUGCCGGGUAGCAAGGGCAGGGCCAGGCCUGCCGUGGUAGGCAGCUUUUUGGUACUUUAGCUGAUGUCCCCGAGAGGAGCCUCUUGGGAAGGAUAGGGCUCCUUUCUGCUCAUAGAGGUUCGCAGUACCAGAUCAGGUGGCGCAAUUAGCCUGGAGCCGGGUGGCGCUGGCCAUGGCGGAGCAGGUGCGGAGGAACCGUCAUGUGGUGACCAGGACACAGAGAGCGGCGAGGCCCAGCUCAGCCUGAAUAGCGCCCCCUCUCUGGGGAGCGCCCCGCUGAACACAAGGCCCCUGUGACUCCAAGACCUCCCCCUGAACCCACCGCCAUAAUGAGGCCAGCCCUCCACCCUAAUCCAUCCGCCACCAGCACUGAUCCAUGAGCUGUUAAGAUUUCCACCAAAUGGGCAGCGGACUUCAAAAGAAAGCAGAAGGGAGAACAAAGGGAAGAGGGAAAGAGGCGCCUUGGGGAAGCGUGCUGCCUGCAGGACUCGGCCGAGCGCCGCAGCCUCGCUCCUGGUGGCCCCUGCUCUGCGACCCCACGCACCAGUGAGAGGAUCCAGUCGAGGGGCUGGCGCUGUGGCGCGGUGGAUAGAUCCGACACCUGCGGCACCUACAUCUCAUACGGGCGCCGGUUCGAGUCCCAGCUGCUCCACUUCUGAUCCAGCUCUCUGCUACGGCCUGGGAAAAGCAGUGGAAGAUGGCCCCAGUGCUUGGGUCUCUGCACCCACGUGGGAGACCUGGAUGAACCUCACAUGUGUGAGAGAGCCAGGUGGAGAAAUUCUGAGCUCCUGGCUUUAGCCUGGCACAGCUCUGCCUACUGGAGCCAUUCGGGAGGGAGUUGGUGGGGAGAUCUCUACCAUGUCUCCUCUCUCUCUCUGUUGCUCUACCCUUCAGAUAAAUAAGUAAUUUUUAAAAAUCACAAUUAUUAAAACAUUUUAAAGUA